ACAAACGACUCUCGGCAACGGAUAUCUCGGCUCACGCAUCGAUGAAGAACGUAGCAAAAUGCGAUACUUGGUGUGAAUUGCAGAAUCCCGUGAACCAUCGAGUUUUUGAACGCAAGUUGCGCCCGAAGCCAUUCGGCCGAGGGCACGCCUGCCUGGGCGUCACGC
rnacentral:rRNA from 1 species